rnacentral:misc_RNA from 1 species
UCCAUGUGAUGCCUCCUCCCGAACAUACGACCAAAGCCGAAGCCCUAAGCUCAUCAUUCUGAUCGCUUCCAUAAAAGUCACACUAAAUUCCUUCAACUUAUUCGCAUGGGUGUUCAGCCGCCGCCUCCAUGCCUGCUCCGGCGGAGCACCGCCGUCGAAGUCCACCAGCUGGAGUGUGUUCCGGCUGACAUACUCCUCAGUCGGCCAGGAGUGGCGCCGGAAGUGGAACAGAUGCCCG